rnacentral:rRNA from 1 species
GGAGGAUCCAAGCGUUAUCCGGAUUUAUUGGGUUUAAAGGGUGCGUAGGCGGCCUGUUAAGUCAGGGGUGAAAGACGGUAGCUCAACUAUCGCAGUGCCCUUGAUACUGAUGGGCUUGAAUGUACUUGAGGUAGGCGGAAUGUGACAAGUAGCGGUGAAAUGCAUAGAUAUGUCACAGAACACCAAUUGCGAAGGCAGCUUACUAAAGUAUGAUUGACGCUGAGGCACGAAAGCGUGGGGAUCAAACAGGAUUAGAUACCCUGGUAGUCCACGCCCUAAACGAUGAACACUCGAUGUUGGCGAUAUACGGUCAGCGUCUAAGCGAAAGCGUUAAGUGUUCCACCUGGGGAGUACGCCCGCAAGGGUG